GAUGAACGCUGGCGGCGUGCCUAAUACAUGCAAGUCGAGCGAACAGACGAGGAGCUUGCUCCUCUUACGUUAUCGGCGGACGUGUGAGUAACACGUGGAUAACCUACCUAUAAGACUGGGAUAACUUCGGGAAACCGGAGCUAAUACCGGAUAAUAUAUUGAACCGCAUGGUUCAAUAGUGAAAGACGGUUUUGCUGUCACUUAUAGAUGGAUCCGCGCCGCAUUAGCUAGUUGGUAAGGUAACGGCUUACCAAGGCGACGAUGCGUAGCCGACCUGAGAGGGUGAUCGGCCACACUGGAACUGAGACACGGUCCAGACUCCUACGGGAGGCAGCAGUAGGGAAUCUUCCGCAAUGGGCGAAAGCCUGACGGAGCAACGCCGCGUGAGUGAUGAAGGUCUUCGGAUCGUAAAACUCUGUUAUUAGGGAAGAACAAAUGUGUAAGUAACUAUGCACGUCUUGACGGUACCUAAUCAGAAAGCCACGGCUAACUACGUG
rnacentral:rRNA from 1 species